ensembl:lncRNA
GUUUGUUCCAGACCAGGACUCUGAGGAGAGCUGCUGGAGGAGCUGAGACCCUGGAGGACGACUAGGAAUCGACCAACAAGGAUUCCUCAACGUGUUUCUGGAGCGGAGGCGAGCUGGUAGGGGAGCCGUGAAUCUGGAAGAUGACCAUCACUCUACCAACAAGGAUUACUUUAGGGCCAGAUCCGCGCUGUUUGUUCCAGAACAGGACUCUGGCUGAGGAGAGCUGAUGGAGGAGCCAAGAAUCUGGAGAACGACAUCACUCCCCCAACCAGGAUCCUCACACACCUGAGCUGAACCUCACCUGAUCCUGUUUGGUCGGGGGUAGACACACCUGAGCUGAACCGCCCUGAUCCUGACAUCCUGCUGGUCCCGUCUCCUCAGUUCAUCCGAGCCUCGUCCUCCAGAAGACCUGCUGAGCUCAGCAGUCUGAGGCUGAUGGAUCAAUGACCUCCAGUGGGAGUGAUCUUCUUGACCCCACAUGUAACCGUGUGCUUCCACACGCCUUUUCCUCACGUCUGUCACUAACCUCACUACUUCACUACUCUCUACUGCUUCCUCUUUUCUUCCUUCUCUGUGGUUCAAACCUUUACACUGAAGGCGUGUCUUCCUGCCCUCAGAGGGUUUAGCGUUAGGGUUGAGAGUCAGGGUUUAGAGUCAGGGACAGAGCUGGUCAGGGAGGACUGCUUUUACACAAACC